UUUCCGUAGGUGAACCUGCGGAGGGAUCAUUACAGAGUUCAUGCCCUACCGGGUAGAUCUCCCACCCUAUGUUAUUAUUACUUUGUUGCUUUGGCGGGCCGUUAGGCUCCGGCCCGACUACCGGCCCCGGCUGGUAAGCGCCCGCCAGAGGACCCAAAACCCUGAAUAUUAGUGUCGUCUGAGUACUAUAUAAUGGUUAAAACUUUCAACAACGGAUCUCUUGGUUCUG
rnacentral:misc_RNA from 1 species